rnacentral:tRNA from 1 species
GGCUCCGUAGCUCAGGUGGAUAGAGCGUCGGUUUCCUAAACCGCAGGUCGCAGGUUCGAGUCCUGCCGGGGCCACCA